rnacentral:rRNA from 1 species
GAUUUCACACUGCCGAGAAAAGCCUCUAGAUAGAAAAUAGGUGCCCGUACCGCAAACCGACACAGGUAGUCAAGAUGAGAAUUCUAAGGUGAGCGAGCGAACUCUCGUUAAGGAACUCGGCAAAAUGACCCCGUAACUUCGGGAGAAGGGGUGCUCUUUAGGGUUAACGCCCAGAAGAGCCGCAGUGAAUAGGCCCAAGCGACUGUUUAUCAAAAACACAGGUCUCUGCUAAACCGUAAGGUGAUGUAUAGGGGCUGACGCCUGCCCGGUGCUGGAAGGUUAAGAGGAGUGGUUAGCUUCUGCGAAGCUACGAAUCGAAGCCCCAGUAAACGGCGGCCGUAACUAUAACGGUCCUAAGGUAGCGAAAUUCCUUGUCGGGUAAGUUCCGACCCGCACGAAAGGCGUAACGAUUUGGGCACUGUCUCAACGAGAGACUCGGUGAAAUCAUAGUACCUGUGAAGAUGCAGGUUACCCGCGACAGGACGGAAAGACCCCGUGGAGCUUUACUGUAGCCUGAUAUUGAAAUUCGGCACAGCUUGUACAGGAUAGGUAGGAGCCUUUGAAACGUGAGCGCUAGCUUACGUGGAGGCGCUGGUGGGAUACUACCCUAGCUGUGUUGGCUUUCUAACCCGCACCACUUAUCGUGGUGGGAGACAGUGUCAGGCGGGCAGUUUGACUGGGGCGGUCGCCUCCUAAAAGGUAACGGAGGCGCUCAAAGGUUCCCUCAGAAUGGUUGGAAAUCAUUCAUAGAGUGUAAAGGCAUAAGGGAGCUUGACUGCGAGACCUACAAGUCGAGCAGGGUCGAAAGACGGACUUAGUGAUCCGGUGGUUCCGCAUGGAAGGGCCAUCGCUCAACGGAUAAAAGCUACCCCGGGGAUAACAGGCUUAUCUCCCCCAAGAGUUCACAUCGACGGGGAGGUUUGGCACCUCGAUGUCGGCUCAUCGCAUCCUGGGGCUGUAGUCGGUCCCAAGGGUUGGGCUGUUCGCCCAUUAAAGCGGUACGCGAGCUGGGUUCAGAACGUCGUGAGACAGUUCGGUCCCUAUCCGUCGUGGGCGUAGGAAAUUUGAGAGGAGCUGUCCUUAGUACGAGAGGACCGGGAUGGACAUACCUCUGGUGUACCAGUUGUCGUGCCAACGGCAUAGCUGGGUAGCUAUGUGUGGACGGGAUAAGUGCUGAAAGCAUCUAAGCAUGAAGCCCCCCUCAAGAUGAGAUUUCCCAACUUCGGUUAUAAGAUCCCUCAAAGAUGAUGAGGUUAAUAGGUUCGAGGUGGAAGCAUGGUGACAUGUGGAGCUGACGAAUACUAA